rnacentral:ncRNA from 2 species
UACUGAGUUUACGCUCUACAACCCUUUGUGAACAUACCUAUAACUGUUGCUUCGGCGGGUAGGGUCUCCGUGACCCUCCCGGCCUCCCGCCCCCGGGCGGGUCGGCGCCCGCCGGAGGAUAACCAAACUCUGAUUUAACGACGUUUCUUCUGAGUGGUACAAGCAAAUAAUCAAAACUUUUAACAACGGAUCUCUUGGUUCUGGCAUCGAUGAAGAACGCAGCGAAAUGCGAUAAGUAAUGUGAAUUGCAGAAUUCAGUGAAUCAUCGAAUCUUUGAACGCACAUUGCGCCCGCCAGCAUUCUGGCGGGCAUGCCUGUUCGAGCGUCAUUUCAACCCUCAAGCUCUGCUUGGUGUUGGGGCCCUACAGCUGAUGUAGGCCCUCAAAGGUAGUGGCGGACCCUCCCGGAGCCUCCUUUGCGUAGUAACUUUACGUCUCGCACUGGGAUCCGGAGGGACUCUUGCCGUAAAACCCCCAAUUUUCCAAAGGUUGACCUCGGAUCAGGUAGGAAUACCCGCUGAACUUAAGCAUAUCAAUAAGCGGAGGAAAAGAAACCAACAGGGAUUGCCUCAGUAACGGCGAGUGAAGCGGCAACAGCUCAAAUUUGAAAUCUGGCCCUAGGCCCGAGUUGUAAUUUGCAGAGGAUGCUUUUGGUGCGGUGCCUUCCAAGUUCCCUAGAACGGGACGCCAGAGAGGGUGAGAGCCCCGUACAGUUGGACACCAAGCCUUUGUAAAGCUCCUUCGACGAGUCGAGUAGUUUGGGAAUGCUGCUCAAAAUGGGAGGUAUAUUUCUUCUAAAGCUAAAUACCGGCCAGAGACCGAUAGCGCACAAGUAGAGUGAUCGAAAGAUGAAAAGCACUUUGAAAAGAGGGUUAAACAGCACGUGAAAUUGUUAAAAGGGAAGCGCUUGUGACCAGACUUGCGUCCGGUGAAUCACCCAGCUCUCGCGGCUGGGGCACUUCGCCGGCUCAGGCCAGCAUCAGCUCGCUGUCGGGGACAAAAGCUUCAGGAACGUAGCUCUCUUCGGGGAGUGUUAUAGCCUGUUGCAUAAUACCCUUCGGCGGGCUGA